GAGAAAUCUGAGAUAUACAUGUAGAGCCCAGUUGGAAGCAGCUAAAGAGAAAAGAAGAAAAAUUAACUGGGAAGUUUGAUAUGCAGUUACAGUAUGGUAGCCUCAGUGGCACGCACUCUUCAUUCCUACCCAUUCUAGUUGUUCUUUCUUAGCUGAAGAAACUAGAAAACUGUAAACUUUAUAUAUUUCCUAGAUCCCCCUGUGGCUAUGAUUCUGAGUGUCAAUUAGAUUUGGAAGUAGAAAUUAGGUAGAGGCCAGUCCUCUUCAACUUCAAACGUUUCUGCCUGACAAACAGGUUAUACGCCAGUAUGAUUUUUCUGUAGUGGUGUUUCAGGGCUCAAUUACUGGGUGUUAAAGACAAUUGUGCUGUGACUUCUUGACACUGAAUUGCAGCCUUGCUAGCGUUUUCCUAAACUGAGCUGUUUCGAUGAUGGCUUCUUGUUU
rnacentral:lncRNA from 1 species